rnacentral:rRNA from 1 species
CCUACGGGUGGCAGCAGUCGGGAAUUUUGGGCAAUGGGCGCAAGCCUGACCCAGCAACGCCGCGUGAAGGAUGAAGCUUUUCGGAGUGUAAACUUCAUAAGAAUGGGACGAAUAAAGGUGGGCUAACACCCCAUCCUAUGACGGUACCAUUUGUAAGCUCCGGCUAACUCCGUGCCAGCAGCCGCGGUAAUACGGGGGGAGCAAGCGUUGUUCGGAUUUACUGGGCGUAAAGGGCGCGUAGGCGGCGCAACAAGUCACUUGUGAAAUCUCCGGGC